rnacentral:rRNA from 1 species
AGUGAACGCUGGCGGGAUGCCUAACACAUGCAAGUCGAACGGCAGCACGGACUGCGGUCUGGCGUCGAGUGGGCGACGGGCGGGUAAGGUAUCGGUACGUGCCCAGUAGCUGGGGAUAGCUACGCGAAAGCGUAGCUAAUACAGUACACGCCCAUCGGGGGAAAGGAGGGGAUCAAAAGACCUUGAACGAUUGGAGGGUCCGAUAACGGAUUAGCUAGUUGGUAAGGUAACGGCUUACCAAGGCGACGAUCCAUAGCUGGUUUGAGAGGCUGACCAGCCACACUGGGACUGAGACACGGUCCAGACUCCUACGGGAGGCAGCAGUGGGGAAUUUUGCACAAUGGGCGCAAGCCUGAUCCAGCCAUCCCGCGUGUGUGAUGAAGGCCUUCGGGUUGUAAAGCACUUUUGUCAGGAAAGAAAAGUUGCGGGCUAAUACCCCGUGGUACUGACGGUACCUGAAGAAUAAGCACCGGCUAACUACGUG